rnacentral:misc_RNA from 1 species
UUGUAAAGUUAAAACUAAACAAGGAUAUGUGUACAUUGACAGUGCAUUGUAGAAGGAUGUAGGUGGUGAAAGCACUUUAAUAGAAUAUGUGCACAUAUAGUGACGUGUUUCCAUCUUGACAAUUCCUGCAAUAUAGAUAAAGUUCACAAUGUGGGACACAUCAGGAGAACCACCAGGAGAACAAGAAGGGGACUCAUCUGAUCCUGCAAUGCAAGUAGAAGAAAAAUGUGAACGAAGUCAAAGCCAAAUGGAAUCUCUUGAAGAAAUUGUGCUAAAAAAUAAGCCAACUUCGAAGAAGCAGGAGGAAGUUCAGGAAUAUGCAAGGAGGCUUUCUAAAAUUAAAUCUAGAGCUAAAUUUUCACGACGAAAUAAGGAAGCAAAUUUGCCAUGUAAAAGUACAUCACAUGUGUCUGAUGCAACAUCACCUGGCACCUCUGAUCAAACUGUUGACGAUAUAAGUCAAGCGAAAACUGCAAAAGCAAAGUCUACUUUACUCCAAAAAAAGUUAGCCGAAGACAGGAAAGUAUUCGAACAACGUAAUAAGGAGAGGACUGAAACUAAACGUGCUGUGGAAGAGAAGGUAGAGGCUAUUAGACAACAACUAGAAGAAAAUGAUGUAUCUCACCCAGAUCUGGCUCUAGUAAGUCUACAAAAGGAUCAAUUAUCUGUUACACCUAUUAAACCAGUCAUGAUCACUUCUGAGGUAAUGUCGCCAGUACAAAUUGAAAGUAUUCGAGAUAAAGAAAAUAAAAUUGCAGAACUUAGUAAUAAAAUUGUAGAAUUAGAAGCCAGUAUUGUGGACCUUCAAGAAAAUUUGAAGGAAAAAGAUUCUGUCAUUGAAUCUAAAACAAAGGCAGUUACACUUAUGUCCGCAGAUCUUUCCAGGAAGGGUAAAACAACAUUAGACACUCUUGAAGAUACGAAAGAUGAAAUGCGAACAAUGCAGGAGCAUUUUAUACUUUUAGAGACAUCAUUAAAAAAUAAAAAUGAAAACCUCUUAAAGCAAUUAGCAGAAAAAGAUAAUAAAAUAAUAGAAUUAGAAGAAUCAGUUAAUCGGUUUGAACAAGAAGUUGACAAGCAAAAGUUAUCUGAGUCAGCAAGCGCUAACUUUUCUCGCUGUACAAUGGAUACAUUAGUAGAAACCAAAGAAGCAAUGAAAUCUAUGCAGGAAAAUUUUGUACUUAUAGAAUCAUCUCUUAAAGCGAAAAACGAUAAUCUUCUUCAACAGCUGCAAGAUUAUGAAUUGAAAUUGGCAGAAUCUAACGAACGAAUAUUUAAAUUGGAAUCUGGUAUUGGUAUAGAAAAAGAUCCAACAGUUGACGAUUUGCGGUUUAAAUUAGAAAAAUUGGAAUAUAGUAACAAACAGUUACAGGAUGAGAAAUAUGAAUUACAAAAAAGUAUGGCUGAUCUGCAAGAUAAAAUUGUGAACACUUCUAUCCAUGGUAAUGGUGCUGUAAUAGAAAAGGACAAUAGAAUAGUUGAACUCGAAAACUUAAUAGAAGAAUUGAAACAAUCUAAUAAACUUCUUGAAGAAGAAUCUAAAGUGGAAUUACAAAAACAGUUAGCGGAUUUGACAUUGAAAAAUGAAGAAUAUGCAAAUAAAAUUACUGAUCUUGAAAAUUUGGUGCAUAACCUAGAAGAACAAAAGAGUGAAAUUGCAGCCAGAUUACCAGAUGAGAGUGCUGUUAACGAAGACGAGAAGGUGGCAAAGCUUACCAAAGAAUUGGAAGAAUUAAAUAAAAAUAUGAUAAAAAUAAAAGCACAACAUAAAACUAAAAUAAAAAGUUUACAAAAGCAACUGGAGAAUUUCAAAAUGGUGUCCGACACAAAUGCGGAACUUGUUAGACUGGCGAAUCAAGUGGCAUUAUUAGAGGAGGAGAAAGGUAACCUUCAGCUGAAUCUGGUAGACUUUGACGAGCUUAAAGCCUCAGCAGGCGACUGGCAAGAACGCACUGUUUACCUCGAAAGUAAAGUUUCUGAUCAGUUAAAAGAAAUUCAAAUGCAAAUAGAAGCCAUUGCUGCAUUAGAGAAUCAAAAACUGGAUCUCAUGCAAGAACUCCAUAUGGUAAAACAGGAAAUUUCAUCUUUAGAAGCGGAAAAUGCAGAAUCUGAAAAUCUGAGGGUAUCUGCAGAAAUGAAAGUUGUUGAUUUUGAGGAACAGUUAGAAGCUAUACACAAACUGCAGAAUGAAAAUAAAUUAGAAUCUUCGUUAGAAGCCAAUUAUGCAGAGCUAAUUAAACGGAUGGAAGUUUUAACGCAAGAAAAUAGUGAACUGUAUAAUAGAAUAUCGAAAAUGGAAGAGAAAGGAGCUUCUGACACCGGUUCUACUGAGUCGUUUGAAGCCAUACAGGAAUUGGAUAAGAGUGAUUUGUUGAAAAAAAUUGAGGAUUUGACACAGAAAAAUAAUGAAUUAGCUCUUAAAGUAAGUAAAAUUCAGGAAAAAGAAAAAUUACAGGCUGGAUCCAUAGAGUCGUUUGAAAGUAUACACGAUACAGAUAAGAAUGAACUAUUAAAGAAAAUUGAUCAGUUGACUCAAGAGAACACUGACUUAACAAUGAAAUUGAGUCGAAUUGAAGAAAAAGGAUCUUCUGAUACAGGUUCAACGGAAUCUUUUGAACGUAUUCCAGAGCAAAAUGAAAGUAUAACGAAAAUUGACCUUCUUACUCAAGAAAAUAGUGAAUUAGUAAUUAAACUUACAAAACUGGAAGAACAGUUGGAACACAUAAGAAGCAGUGGUAUGGAAUGUAAGUCGGAUGUUGACUUACAAUUAAAAGUCGAUAGUUUACUGGAAGAGAAUAGUAAUCAAUCUGCAGAAUUAUCCAUACUCAAGGCACAGUUAACCGAAAUCACAAUACAGAAUACUAAUUUUCAGAAAGAAAUUGAAACUUUGAGUGCAGAAACCUUGACUCUUAAACUAGAGGAUUCAUCUGGAAAAUUAAAAAGGGAAAUUGAGUUAACAACACAAAUGGACGAGUUAGUGGAAGAGAAAACUCUUCUUGAGAAAGAAAUAAAGGAAUUGAGUAAUGCUUUGGAAAAAUCACACAAGGUCACAGUUGAGGAUGUUGAAACAAAUAAUUUGACAUUGAAUGUUGAAGAAUUGCUGAAAAAAAAUAAACAAAUAUUUGUGAGAAUGUCAGAACUUGAAGCGUUUAAUGAGAAAUUGAAAGAAAAUUUGAAGGACGUAACACGAGAAAAGGAAGAAUUAUGCAGAAAAAUUAAUGAUAUGUUACCUGAAGAUCCUGUCAAUGAAAGGUUAGAAAUUCUUGAAAAGUUAGAAAAGUUAAAUAAAGAGAAACGGCAACUACAUGAACAAGUCGAAACUCUUCUAGAAAAAUCCACUAAAGAUUCAUCUGAAAUGCGACUGUUAGAUGAAUCUGUUAUUGCUUCUUUACAAUACGAAAUAGAAGAACUGAAGAAAGUUGUUGUUGAACAAACUAGUACAAUUGAAGAGAUGCAAGUUAAACUUAUAAAUAAAGAAGCAGAAUUAGAUGAAUUACGUAAGGAGAUCAUAGAGUAUCAAGCUUCUGAGCAGAAAAUUAACAGUCUCGAACAUGAAUUGAAGGAAAUGCAAGACAAAGUGGAAAAAUCAUGGUCUGAAAAAGCAGCCAUUGAAGAGGAAUUUAAUACAUUGCAAAAAGAAAGUAGUGUGUUGCGCGAAGUGAAAAAAGAGAAGGAUGCAGAAAAUAUUUUGCUAAAGCAACAAUUGCAAGAUACUACAGCGUCAUACGAGUCGAAAAUUCAAGAGCAACUAACAAUAAUAUCUGAAAAAGAAAAUGGAAUUACUAAUUUGAAGGAAAUCAUUGGAGAAAAGGAUCAAGAGUUGCAUGCCAAAUACACGGAAUUGCAAAAUAAAAUGAUCACAAUAGACAGUCUGCAAGAUGAAUUGAAUACUUUAAAAAUGUUAAUCCAAGAGAAGGAUGUUUCAUUAAGGUCAAUGUCUGAUGAAAUUGCGAAUCUUAAUAAUGCACUAAAGACUAAAGGAGACGUAAUAUAUUCAUUGAAAAAAGAUAUUGCUGACUUAAAUGAGAAGUUAGAGGAAUCGAAACCUUUGCAGAAUUAUAAUGAAUUAUUGGAACAAUUAAAAGAUAAAGACACGAUUCUUAAUGAAAUUCAAUAUAGGAUGAAUGCUAUUACAAAAGAAAAUAAUAAUUUAUUGGAAAAAGUGAAGAAUUUGUCCGAGCAGAACGAUAAUAUUCAACAAGGUUUAACUGAAAAACAAGGACUAGUUUCUCAUUUAAUGAAAGUGAACGAGGUUUUAGAUGCACAGAUUGUAGAAUUUAAAUCCGAUAGAGAUCAAGCAAAAAGACGAAUUUGGGAGAUGCAAAACAUUAUAGACGAUAAUGCUAAGUUUGUGGAAAAUUUACAGACAGAAUUAAGAACUGCAUACAAGCAAAUAGAACAGUUAAAGAUAAAACAUACAGAGGAUACGGAAUUACAAAAUCAAAGAGUUGAAGGUCUAAUUGAAGAAUUACAUGCUAAAACACAAGAAUAUGAAACACUGAAAAGCGAAUUGUUAGAGAAGGAAAGACUGGUUGGACAAAAUGUAACGGAGGAGGUUAAAAUCGCACUGGAAGCUAGAAUUGCUGAUUUGGAGCAGAAAUUGAAAGAUUCUGAAGAUAAAAUACAAAUGCAGUUAGAAAAAAUGAAGAAAAUAGCAGCGAACCUGAAGAAGAAGACAGCCGUGUGUCAAGAACUUGAAACAAGAGCCGCUGAGUUAGAAGAAAAAUGGACAACUGAAAAAGACGAAAAAGAGGCUAAAAACAAACAGAUACAGGAUGCAGCAAUUUCGAUGUGUGAAAAGGAUAAUAACAUAGCAGAGUUAGAAGAGAAACUGAUGCAGGCAAGAAACGAGAACGAAGAGGCUUUGAAAAACAGUGAUGAACUUAUGAGUAAAUUAACCAAUUCGAACGAGAAAAUGUCGUUGCUUACGCAGCAUAUUACAGAAAUGGAGGAAGAAAUUGUAAGAGUACGAGCAGAGUUGGAAUCCAUAGUAGUGGAACUUGCAACUGAGAAAGUAGCCAAAGAAAAUAUAAUGUCGGAAUAUGAAGCUUAUAAACAACAAAUUGCUACAGAGAACGAAUGUAAACUGUUGGAGUUAGACGAUGUCAAGGAAAAAGCCAGGGAGCUUAGCGUUCGAAUGCAAGUUAUGGAAUCGGAAUACGUUGAACAACUUGCGUUAAUAAAGGAUCUUCACGCUGCAAAUGGUUUACUAUUGUCCAAACAAACUCAAAUCAACGAAAAAUUGGAAAACGUAGAAAAAGAAUCGGAGGAGCGACGAGUAUUAUUAGAACAGGUGCAGAAGGAAGCCGUUAGCACUGCGACCGUGACCACUCAAACCACAGAAGAUGAAAUUAUUGAGGAUGAUACGAAAAUGACUGGUACACAACAUUGCAGUCAUUGCGAACAAUGCCAAACGGUGGUGCAAGCGUUAGAGGCGAAAUUACAGGAGCGGGAAGCAGAAAUUGAGAAUUUGGAUAACGAAUUAGCUAAUUCUGUUGGUAAUUUUGUUCAAAUGAGAGAGUCUCUUCGGUUUAACGAUUUAAUGAACCAAACCACUAUGCGAAACAGAUCACUGGAAGAUCCCUACAAUCAUCUUCUAUUCCAGUAUAAUACAUUGAUAUCGAGCAACGAAGAAAUAAAAGCAAAAUUAGAUGAAGCUUUAAAGGAAAAUAAGGACUUGGUAAAGAAAAUUGAAGGCUUACAGUCCGUGAACACUACUUUAGAGGAAAGAAUAGUUGUUGCAGAGCAAAUGUUAGAAAAAAACAAGCAAAACACAGAAAAGUUAGAAAAUGUUGAUUGCUUGAACUCUGACUUAAGAAAGAAAUGCGAAGAACACGAAUUGGAGUUGUUGAACGUGCAAAGAGACAUGCAAGACGUCCAGGAGCGUGCGGAUCUCCUCGAACAACAAUUAAAUUCCCAGACUGCAUUAUUGAAGUCGGAAGUAGAGCAACGAAUGCAUACAGAAAAGUUGUUGCAGGAUGUUAAAAAUAAUUUGGAACAGGAAGUCGAGUCCCGGAAGGCUGAUAAAAACAUAGAUCAGAAAAUAAUAGAAGAUCUAAAGAUUGAGUUAGAAACGUACAAAAAUCAGAGUGUAGAGCUUACUGAAAACUCAGAAAUUGUUAAAAGAGGAGCACCUGAUUUAAAUUUCCCAAUUGAUGAACGAGACAAUGUGCCUCAGUUAUUCGAUGCUUCAAAAAUCUUUGGUGCAUCAUCUGCCUCCGGUUCCGAUAUUCUAGGUGGUGCAGAAGCGAGAAGAUUUCAGGCUUUGUUAAGCGAAAAAAACGCACAGUGCUCGAAUCUUACCCAAGAGAUCAGUCACUUGCAGAACCAGUUGAUCGAGGAGAGAUCUCAGAUGUCCCAGAAUUACAGCCAAUGCAUCGAAGAAUUAGAAGUCUCUCGGAAGGAUUUGCAUGUAGCCCAAGCGAACUUGGAAAGAAUGGAACAACUUUUAACCACGAAAGAUGGACAGAUCGAGUCCCUGAAUACUGAACUGCGAAAUCUCAGCUCGCAAAUGUCGGCGGAGUUAGAGGCAAAUUCUACAAAAGAGGCGGUCGAGAAACUCUCUCUCUCUCGAGAUCAGCAGAACAUCUUGCUCGAGUCGUACAAGCUGCAAAUCGUGAAUUUAGAAGCGGAAUUAAAGAACUCAACAGACACGGAAUUGAUACAAGACUUGGAAACUCGGAUUUCGGAUAUCACCAAGGAGAGAGAUUUGUUACAGUUGCAGAUGAACGAUUUGUCAAGAUCGUUGGAAGAGUUGAAGGGCUCAACUGAAAUCGAGCGGAGUUUGCGGAUGGAAAUUGAGAAAAUGGCGCGCGAAAGGGACGAGAUGAAAGAGCUCGCGGCGAAUCUCACGCGGGCUUUGGAGGAUGCUUACAAAAGUGUGGAUAAAACGCCUACCCUUACGGACUCGUCUACUAAAGAAUCGACGCCUUUACAGGAAAUCACGGUUACACAAGCGGAAGCGGAUACUUUGAAAACUGUCGGCGAAGAUGUUAAGGAAAUGAUUACUUCCGAUAGUUGGGAUGUAGGCUCGAUCGAGAAGUUCAAUGUCGACGAGGAAACCUGGGGUUGGAAUGCGGACGAUGCUCAGCUGGCUGGUGAACCGGUUACCACCGCUUUAGUUCCCAGCAUGGAAAUGCAGUUACGGGCGAAGGUCGACGAUCUUCAGGAUCAAAUUCGAGAUCUGGAGAAGGAACAAGACAAGAUGACGGAAGAAAAUAAGGCGCUUCAGUUGAGAAGCGGCAAAAUGAUAAAGAAACUUAAAGAGUACAAGGUGCAAGUGGAGAACCUUCAAAAACAAUUAAAAAUACAGAAAUCUGCGAUCGACUUUUACGACCUUGAUUCCGCGAUCGGAGAAGAGUUGAAGUCUCAGAUCAGCAAGCUAGAGAAAACCCUGAACGAGGUUAAGGAGGAACAGAAGAGUACGAUCGCCGAGAAAGAGGCUUUGAUGAAACGUUUGGAUGUCCUUAUGUCUGCGAACGAACGAUAUAUGGAGAUGAAAGAGAGGCAGGACAUGGAUAUGGAAGUAUUACGUAUCCGAAACAAGGAGUUGUCGGACAAAGUUGAAACGCUGGAUAAACGGUUGCACGAAAGCGCGUCUGGUUCCGAGGAGAAUAACGCUUCUCGAAACGAAACCGUUGUUCCGGACGAGGAGACCAAAUCGGUGGUUCGUCGUCAAGAGAGAUCCGUCGACGGCGAGGACUUGGAGACUCUGUGUAAAAAGUACAAGGAUGAUAUCGAUGAUAUUAAAGACGAGAUGGAAGCGCUGGCCAACGAGAACGAACAAUUGCAGCAUUUCCUAGAAGAACAGAAGAACAAGCUGUCAGCCAUCGAAUCGAAACGAACGGCGGAUGAAAACGAGUCCAUUCAGAUUGUGGACGAUCUGAACAAAAAGAUUUCGGAGUUGCAGGGCAUGUUGAGUAAAUCGAGAGAAGAGUAUGACUUGUUGAGGAAGCAAUACGAGCAAAGCUUGAUGGACGCUAAUGAUCAGGUGUCGGCGAUGAGGCAGAACUCCGAUUUCUUGAAGGAGGAAACUUUUGAGAAAAUUACCAGACUGGAAAUGGCGAUCGCUGAUCUGCGUCAGCAAGCCGAAGCAUCUGAAUUAAAUGUGAAUGGACUGCAGAAGAGUUUGCAGGAAGCGGUUCAAGAGAAAGCAGACACAGAAGAGAAAUUGGUUGCGCUAACGUCUUCCUCGGAGAAGCAACUGUCUGCCGUGAAUGCAUCGAUGGCGGAAGUAACGGAACUUUUGAACGUCAGGAUACAAGAGGUCGCGGACUUGAAGCAGGAACUUCAGAGGCAAUAUAUACAUCACGAGGAGGUGAAGAUGAAAUUACAGGAGACUAUAGAACAACUGAGCCUAGAACUCGGCGAGAAGAAGCAACAGGUAGAGGUAUUGAAGAAAUCAAUGAACGAUAAGGAAAACGAGUUUAUUCAACAACAGAGCGUGGAGACCGUUAGCGCUCUCGUGAGCCAAGCUACUCAAGAGCUGGUGCAGAAACACGCUAUAGAGAUCGAAGAGAAAGAGAAAGAGAUACGACGGCUUAAUGAAAAGAAACUACACGAUGAUAGGCAACUUGUAGAUGUAAACAACGAACACCUACAAUCUGAGGUGAGUUCUUUGUCGACCAAAUUAAAUUACAUGAAAUCGCGCAAUAAAGAGCUUCAGCAGACCCUGGUUUCGCUGGAAGAGCGAUUAACUGGAACAGUGUCAGAGAAUGAACGAACUUUUGAACAGCUCUCGAUCGAAAAUAAAGAACACGUGGAAACUAUAAGACAGUUACAGGCGCGGCUAAAGGAGGUAGAAAUACCUUUCGGCCAGGCAAAAGACUUCAUUUCGCAUGCCCAAGAUCUAGAAGAAAAGCUUGAAAACGUAAGGGCUUCUUUAGUGGAAAAAGAAUAUGCUUUAGGACAAUGCAUCAAACAAUCCGCGGAAUGCAAUAUUACUUUGGAGAAUACCAAAGCCGAAGCUAACGCACUCCGUGUGGAGUUACAGAGGACCGACACCUUGAGGAACGAACUGCUAGAAAAGACUGAUCAGAUAAAUCAUCUUACCGCGGAAUUGGAAAUCGCUCGCAAAGCUUUGAACGAAGCCAGGCGGAAUUUGAGCGAGAAGAUGUCUUUGCUCGAGACGAGUAAUCAAAUGUUGAACGAGAAGCAGAUGGAAUUGGACAGAUUGUCGCUGGUACAAGAUCACUAUCAACGUCGAUCGAGUUCUUCCAGGACAGUAGACGAUUUACCUGUCUUCAGGAUGAGCGACGAUACCCAGAGUCUGCAGCGUACGAUUGACACUAUGCAAGCUGAGUUGGAUAAGAAACAGGAGGAAAUCGAGCAUUUUAAAUAUCUACUUAACGAGAACACGUAUCCCAGUAUAAUCGAAGAGAUGCAGGAUAGGAUCAACAGUCUUUACAACGAAAAGGCCGAGCUGGAGUCUUCUUUGGAAACGGCGACAUUGAGAGCCGGCGAAAAGGACAAGCAAAUCGAAAGUUUAACGCAGCGAAUCGAGAUGCAGACUCAGGAAUUCACGUCCAAGGUAGAAGCAACUUUACCAUCCAAGGAAAGACGGUCCGUCCAUGAUCAGGAGGAGAUCGUCAGGUUGCAGAACGAGCUACACGUUAAAGAACAGCUGAUCAACGAGUUGAAGUACGUGAUAGCCGAGAAGGACUCUCAACUAUCUCUCCAAGCCAGCAUGGAACCGCAGUCGGAUGAUUUCGAGUUGCGUGAAACGUUGCAGCGACUGACCAUCGAAUUGUACGCUAAAGAACAGGAGAUACAGCAACUGAAAUCGACGGUCGCGGAGUUGGAGCAAGAACGGUCGCGAUUACAAGCAUUCGAACGGGUCUCGGAGGAAACCAGGGACGCCAUACAGAGGCUUAAUGAAGAGAAGGAACAGGUACGACUGGAGGCGCAUGAAAUCCUAGAGAGGAAGUUGAAGGAGAAGGAAAUGGAGAUCAGCGAUAUAAAAGAGAGGCUGUCUAUCGAGAACAGAAAUAUUCUAAGUGAGUUACAGUUGAGGGACAGAGAUAUCGAGAAUCUGAGGAGACAGCUGAACGAGUUUUCUACGAUGGAACAGGGUGUGAAAGAUAGUCUCCAUCGAAAGGAGGAGGAACUUGUCCGUGUGAGCGCGGAUUUGGCGGAGAAAGAACGACGAUUGGCGGAAUUGAGCAUUACCAAGGACACGGAGCUCCACAAUUUGAAGGUCCAGAUACACGAGAAAGAGAUCCGCAUAGAGGAACUAUUGGCGAUGUCCGACGAGGAGGAAAAACAGCUGUACGAGUUGAAGAUCGCAUUGGAGGCCAGGGAGACGGAGAUAAAUUCAUUGAAGGCUCUGCUGGAAGAUAAAGUCAAGGAAUACGAAUUGAUUCAAAACGUAUUGAAAAAGGACAUUCCUAUUAUCGAUCCGUCUGAGGUUCGAGACUUGGAGGUGUCUGGGGAAGAGGGGAGAGCGUCAACCUCGCAGGAACUGGACUUUGCUCUGUACAUGCUUCAUCAACGGGACGUCAGGUGCGAGGAACUGACCCACGAGCUGAUGCAGUUACUCGAGGAACGGGACACUUUACAGUUACGUCUGUCGAACGCGAUCAGAGUGAACGAGGAUCUGAGGAAAGGUGGCACCUCUCAGUUUAGUUUGAAGGAAGAGCCUUCGGUUUCCGAAAGCACGGAACCACUUGUGGACUGUCCUUCGCCUUCGAAGUCCGAGGGACCAGUCGAGAUAGCCAAGGAAGCUAUCGAUUCUCCGAUUGGGGAGGACAAGGAGACUCUUGCCCAGAACUAGGAAUGUUCAGAGUCAGUCGAGCGUCUUACUGAAUUGGCUGUGGGGAAAAAGCACGCCAAAGG